AGCGAACGCUGGCGGCAGGCCUAACACAUGCAAGUCGAACGAACCCUUCGGGGUUAGUGGCGGACGGGUGAGUAACACGUGGGAACGUGCCUUUAGGUUCGGAAUAACUCAGGGAAACUUGUGCUAAUACCGAAUGUGCCCUUCGGGGGAAAGAUUUAUCGCCUUUAGAGCGGCCCGCGUCUGAUUAGCUAGUUGGUGAGGUAACGGCUCACCAAGGCUACGAUCAGUAGCUGGUCUGAGAGGAUGACCAGCCACAUUGGGACUGAGACACGGCCCAAACUCCUACGGGAGGCAGCAGUGGGGAAUCUUGCGCAAGGGGCGAAAGCCUGACGCAGCCAUGCCGCGUGGAUGAUGAAGGUCUUAGGAUUGUAAAAUCCUUUCGCCGGUGAAGAUAAUGACUGUAGCCGGAGAAGAAGCCCCGGCUAACUUCGUGCCAGCCGCCGCAGUAACAC
rnacentral:rRNA from 1 species